UACAGAGGGGGCAAGCGUUGUUCGGAAUUACUGGGCGUAAAGGGCGCGUAGGCGGCCAACUAAGUCGGACGUGAAAUCCCUCAGCUUAACUGGGGAACUGCGUCCGAUACUGGCAGGCUUGAAUCCGGGAGAGGGAUGUGGAAUUCCAGGUGUAGCGGUGAAAUGCGUAGAUAUCUGGAGGAACACCGGUGGCGAAGGCAGCCCCCUGGGUCAAGAUUGACGCUCAUGCACGAAAGCGUGGGGAGCAAACAGG
rnacentral:rRNA from 1 species